GUGUCAGCCGCCGCGGUAAUACGUAGGGUGCGAGCGUUAAUCGGAAUUACUGGGCGUAAAGCGUGCGCAGGCGGCUCUAUAAGACAGAUGUGAAAUCCCCGGGCUUAACCUGGGAACUGCGUUUGUGACUGUAGGGCUUGAGUGCGGCAGAGGGGGGUGGAAUUCCACGUGUAGCAGUGAAAUGCGUAGAGAUGUGGAGGAACACCGAUGGCGAAGGCAGCCCCCUGGGUCGACACUGACGCUCAUGCACGAAAGCGUGGGGAGCAAACAGGAUUAGAUACCCUGGUAGUCCACGCCCUAAACGAUGCGAACUAGGUGUUGGGGAAGGAGACUUCUUUAGUGCCGUAGCUAACGCGUGAAGUUCGCCGCCUGGGGAGUACGGUCGCAAGAUUAAA
rnacentral:rRNA from 1 species